CAUGAAAUUCUGGAAAGAGAGAAUUGUGGAUAUUUGGUAGAUGGUGUAGCUAAACUUGAGUUCACAGAAAAGCUCAUGUAUUUUACAUUAUUCAGUGCCUUAGGCUGCCUCAAGGAGAGCUUGCAACCUCGAGCAAUAAAACCCCCAAAAAAAGAAAAAGGAAAAGGAAAAGCAUACAUUAUUAUAAUUAAUAUUUAUGCCACUGUUGAAAAGAAGACUCACAAACUUCCAGUAAUCACAUAAAAUUCUAUUCAAGGAAGUGCAGACUUCAAAGAUUUGGUUAAAUUUUCUAGUUCCUUCAACCCUUCCUCUGGAGAUUUUGCUUCACCCAACAAUUUUACCAUAGCACUACCAACAAUGACACCAUCAGCACCCCAUCUUGCUACCUGUAAUAAAAUGCAAGUAAUAAAUAUCUACCUUGAUGCAUAAACCCAACAGGAAAAUCCAUGGCCAUCAAUCUUUUUAUGUCAGAGGACUAACCUGUUUCACAUGCUCAGGUUUUGAUAUGCCAAAGCCAACUGCUACGGGCUUAGUUGUUGCCUGCCAUGGCAAAAGUGGAGGCACGAGGCAGAUUUGAAUAGAUCCAUUUAUGUUAAAGCAUCAUUAAAUGGUGACUAGUGAUAGAAGAUAUUUACUUUAAAGCAUCCUAAGCAACUGAACAGAUCAGAUUUAUCCAACCUACAUUUAUCUAACCUACUUCACGCAUCCCAGUAGAUUUUAGAUUUAUGCUUAAUCAUUGUAUUAAUCAAUUGAUUUGCAGCCAUUUAUUAGUAGGAUUCUAAGUUGAGAAGAAACUAGAAAGCUCCUGAUAGAAGGAUAUGAUUGAAGAACAAAUUCUUCCAAAGACUAUCCAUUACCCUAAUUCUCAAGAGGCCUAUAUGCCCAAUGCACCAAGCACCAAACAAUGUUCUUUGAGGGUUUAGUCCAGAAAAAUUGCAAAUGUCCUAUUUAAAAAUGGGUUAUUCUACUAAAAAGUUUGGAAAUUGCUAUACUAUCAUCAUCUAUCAAAAGCAGGUAAGAGAUUAUAAAGACAAACCUCUUUAAUAUCCUGCAGAAGAGUUUGUACUCGAUCACUUACAGAUGCACGGGCACCAGUAACUCCAACUGAGCUCACAAGAUACACAAAUCCCUCUGAUGCUUCAACAAUGGCUUUCAUUCUUUCUACAGGAGUAGUCGGUGUUGUAAGAAGUACCAGUUCAAUAUUAUUCUUGAAGGCUUCCUUCCUCAAAAGUUCAGAUUCCUCUAGAGGUACAUCUGGGACAACAAGUCCUUUUACACCGCUGUCUUUUACGGUGAACAUAAACUUCUCAAUUCCACGCUUUAAUAUUGGGUUGUAAUAUGUAAAUAAAGCAAUUGGACAGGUUAAUUGUGGAGCCACCUCCUUCAACAUUGAUGUUAUUGCAUCAAAAUUGGUUCCUCUAGCCAAGGAACGAGUAGCUGCCGCCUGAAUAACUGGACCAUCUGCCAGCGGAUCAGAGUAAGGAACACCCAGUUCAAUUAUGUCAGAUCCACAGGAAUCCAGCACCUUCAAGGCUUCUGCUGUGGUUGAAAGGUCAGGGUCACCAGCUGUGAUAUAUGGAAUGAAUGCGACUUUGCCUUGUUUUCUCAGAUUGGAGAACGUGUCAGAUAGACCAAGUGUAGGGGCUAUCGUCAGCGCAGCCAUUGGAGCGAAUCUUCUGGUUGAAACAACAGUAGAUUUGCAGGAGGCGAAUCGAAGAAAGAGAUGGGUCUCCGGCUUCUUGAGGUGGACGAAGCUAGUUGGUGUUGAUUUCAGGGUAAAAGCCAUUGCACAUAAAACAAGAGUGUUUUUUUGAUAGAGUUUUGGUGCCCACAGACACCGUACACCGAUGCACAGGCUGGUCAGUCACUGGUGCCUGGUGGGCUUUUGAAAUUUUUUACUAGGGUUUUGAAUUUUGAUCAGUGAGCACUAAAUGCUAUGAGCUGUGCCUGUGUUGUCUUUCCUCUCA
rnacentral:misc_RNA from 1 species